rnacentral:snRNA from 1 species
ACAUCUUCUCGGCCCUAGUGGCUAAGAUCAUGUGAAGUAUCUGUUCUUAUCAGCUUAAUCUCUGGUAGUGAGGCCUCCUGUGCCUCACCUCAAGGUUAGACUUAUUUCUUGUUGGGCUCCUGGCACCAUGCCUUCCAGCUAUGCUGUGGGCAGUUCAGAGAGCAGUGAUCAGCUUUGUACUGCACCACCCUGCAAAGUUCUUCAAAUGGUCCACCCCUC